ACUAACAAGGAUUCCCCUAGUAACUGCGAGUGAAGCGGGAAAAGCUCAAAUUUAAAAUCUGGUGGUCUUUGGCCAUCCGAGUUGUAAUCUAGAGAAGCAUUAUCCGUGCUGGACCGUGUAUAAGUCUCCUGGAAUGGAGCGUCAUAGAGGGUGAGAAUCCCGUCUUUGACACGGAUUACCAGUGCAUUGUGAUACGCUCUCAAAGAGUCGAGUUGUUUGGGAAUGCAGCUCUAAAUGGGUGGUAAGUUCCAUCUAAAGCUAAAUAUUGGCGAGAGACCGAUAGCGAACAAGUACCGUGAGGGAAAGAUGAAAAGAACUUUGGAAAGAGAGUUAAACAGUACGUGAAAUUGUUGAAAGGGAAACGCUUAAAGUCAGUCGCAUCGGCUAGGGAUCAACCUUGCUUCUGCUUGGUGCACUUCCUGGUUGAUGGGUCAGCAUCAAUUUUGACCAGUGGAAAAAGUUCAAGGGAAUGUGGCAUCUCCGGAUGUGUUAUAGCCUUUGUUCGCAUACAUUGGUUGGGAUUGAGGAAUUCAGCACGCCGCAAGGCCGGGUUUUCAACCACGUUCGUGCUUAGGAUGCUGGCAUAAUGGCUUUAAUCGACCC
rnacentral:rRNA from 1 species